rnacentral:rRNA from 1 species
AACGAACGCUGGCGGCAUGCCUAACACAUGCAAGUCGAACGAACCCUUCGGGGUGAGUGGCGCACGGGUGCGUAACACGUGGGAACCUGCCCUUAGGUUCGGAAUAACACAGAGAAAUUUGUGCUAAUACCGGAUAAUGUCUUCGGACCAAAGAUUUAUCGCCUUUGGAUGGGCCCGCGUAGGAUUAGCUAGUUGGUGAGGUAAAGGCUCACCAAGGCGACGAUCCUUAGCUGGUCUUAGAGGAUGAUCAGCCACACUGGGACUGAGACACGGCCCAGACUCCUACGGGAGGCAGCAGUGGGGAAUAUUGGACAAUGGGCGAAAGCCUGAUCCAGCAAUGCCGCGUGAGUGAUGAAGGCCUUAGGGUUGUAAAGCUCUUUUACCUGGGAUGAUAAUGACAGUACCAGGAGAAUAAGCCCCGGCUAACUCCGUGCCAGCAGCCGCGGUAAUAC